CGCACAUUGCGCCCUCUGGCAUUCCGGGGGGCACGCCUGUUCGAGCGUCGUCAAUCAAUCGAGCCCCGCUCGGCAUUGGGCCCCGUCGGGAGACGGGCCCGAAAAGCAGCGGCGCGGCCGCCGGGCAAGGAACGCAUUGGAGACUUCGUCCCUGCUGCCCGGCGAUCGUCGCCGGAACAUUUUUUUACAGAAUUGACCUCGGAUCAGGCGGGAUUACCCGCUGAACUUAA
rnacentral:misc_RNA from 1 species